rnacentral:lncRNA from 1 species
UUUUUUUUUUUUUUUUUUUUGUAAAUAGGAAAAGGAAAAAAUGCCACGUGCCUAUAAGAUCAAGUUACAGAGAAUAUUUAACCAAAAAAAAAAUAAAAGAGAGAGAGAAUAAAAUAUGAGAAAACUGAAGUAUUGACUCGCUCAGAAUAAAAGAGUGAGAGUAGCCACUCGCUCGGAAGCGAUUGAGCAGCACCGGGCGAGUGGGAAUGGAAUGAAUAUGCAUGCAUCGGUACUGAGGCGUGCUAUGUUGGCCCGUUAACCGACACUUAGGGCUCCAUUCCGGCUUGGGCCCACUUAUCCUUAAUUCUCAAAUCUGCUCCUCAGUUCUCGCCCCCACAAUUUUGUGAACUCUACUUCCCCGUCAUUCCCUUUCGCUCACUUAACUAACAUCCAUCCUCCAAGCUUCUGUACUUGACGGGAGUAUCUAAUCUGAACCGACCCUGGAAUUUUUUUUUUAUUUUUUAUAAAUCUAACGGAGGUUUCGUAAUGUACUCGUUAAGAUAUAUUUCAGGUAUUAUAUUUUUAAAAAAUAAAUAAAUACAAGAGAAGAUUGAUAAGAUUAAAUAUGAAAAGUAUAUAAAUGUACGGGAGGAUAAUAAUUGUUAGUAUGUAAAGAGAUAAGGUAAUUAUGAAAACCUUGAUCGACCUAUCUGGCAGUUUGGAUUGUCUGACGCGGUAACUUAUAUGUGAAUAUUAGAUAUUUUAACGAAUAUUCUCAUGGUACCCGUUAGAAAAAUUCAAAAAGAAAAAACUAAAAAGAAUCCUUGAGUUUGAAUAGGCAAAACAAGAAACUAUUUUUCCCCCCACUAUUAUUGCAUAAUAAUUACCUAUUAGAAACUUUUUUUGAGUUGAAGUUGGAUGACAUUUAGGAGAUAAUAAAAGGUUAAGCACGUAAACCCCUUCCACGAAAUAGAUGCAUGUUUUUCCAUUUGUUUUUGGUAGAAUGUGAGAUGACAACUAUUUACCGAUUACUUCACAAACUGCGAAGCAAUUGAUGUACAAAAAUGAUAGUGAAGUGGAAAAAGAUGGAAACCAGAACCAUUUAUAGAAUUAUAUAGUCAGUACCAUGUCACUGACAACAGAAAAUAAAACGCACACUGUACUUGUUUAUCAUAAGAGAAGAAUACGAAUUUCCUUUCUUACUUUUUCUGCUCUGGGGAAAUGCUUAGAUCCGUGGGCCCCCGGCCUCUGAUAUCAAUGUCAAUUUACCCUUGACCCGCAACAAAUUUGAAGGACCAUCAUCCCCUGAACAUUUUUUAAUUUUUACAUUUCUCAUCGAAGUUUGUGCCGCAACGCCCUGCAUUACGCUUUGUCCCCCCCGGCCUGCAGUCAACCCAAGUCCAUUUCCAUUGUCAAAGCUCAAAACCAUCCAUCUGGCGAAUAUUCAGAUACCAAAAAGACAACUAUGUCCUCGUUGUUAUGAUGUUGUCCAAUAACCAUUUGUCAUUUCCCCUCGCUUAUCGCUGGUUUCCUCACUAUUGUAUUAAAUUUCUUUCCUAUUGUGAAAUAAAAAUUUUUCACAAUAACGUACUAAAGAAUAUCUUAUGAAACGAUUUAAUUAUCAUAAGAAAAUCAAAAGUUCGUAUUUGUUUAAUUUAUAUUUAUAUUAAGGAUUGGUGCAUCAUAAACAUUUUAUUAUUAACAAUUAAUGCGCACUAGUGCGUCAUCGAAAUUUUUUCAAUAAUUACUACACGAAAAGAAUUUAUUAAGGAAAAAUAGAAACUAUUUUAGAUUUUUUUUUUUUUUUACUAAACAUACACUCUCAUUUUGUAUAAUAAUUGUCGAUAGUUAAAUAUUUUAUGUAACUAUAUAACAAUAAGUAAAUUUGCCCAUCAAAACAAAGCAUUUACGAGAAAAUAACAGAAUAUGUUAAACCACAAAAAAGAAAUUCUUUGAUGCAUUGUUCUUAAAAUUUGUAUAUCAUAGUCGAUCGAUGGAGUAAUAAGAAAUCUAUGUACAAUAGGAAAAAAUAUGAAGAAGAAAGAGAGGAUUAUUUAAUAACGUCUAAUUAUGAUCAAAGGGCAAUUUGUAGGUUUUAUGAAUACAUGGGGUAAUUGACCACUUGAUCAUAAUUACAAGAGCGCAAUAUGUGAUAAAACCUGAUAAAAAAGUGAGAAUCAAUGUUUUUAUUUAUACAUUUUUGUUUUUGUUUUUAGUUUGCCAAAAAACACAUAAGAAUGCUGCAGAAAUGUGGAAAACCCUGAGAUAGAACUACUCUUUUUUUUUUUUUUCCCCAUGGCUGAAGAAAAUAGACCUUUUUUUUUUCCCUUGGGGAGAGAGAGAGAGAAGGGGGUUGGUUCUCCGGCAGGCAAGGCAAUACGACAGAAACGGAAGGUUCAUAUUAGGAUGCAAGUGCUGAGUGCUUUGUUUGAUGUUUCCUCAAUCAGGGUAGUUGCAUGUUCCAAUCUAAGCAGUAAUGACCGAUGACGACAGAAAAGAAAAAAAAGCAUCGGAAGGGGAUGGCAACCUUCAUCGUCAUCUCUUGGCAAAUAACGCAAAGGGGACAAGAAGAAAAAAAGAAACAAUCAUCCUGAUACACCCUGUCAGUAAACAAAACCAAAUAUGAAGAGAAAAGGCCUAAACAAUCAUCCUGAACUAUGCUCUACCUGUACGUAUCUACCACAUUAUGCAGUCAGUCAGUCAGUGUCAAAUUAGCCGUGAACUUCC